GACGAACGCUGGCGGCGUGCCUAAUACAUGCAAGUCGAACGCUUUUUCUUUCACCGGAGCUUGCUCCACCGAAAGAAAAAGAGUGGCGAACGGGUGAGUAACACGUGGGUAACCUGCCCAUCAGAAGGGGAUAACACUUGGAAACAGGUGCUAAUACCGUAUAACACUAUUUCCCGCAUGGAAGAAAGUUGAAAGGCGCUUUUGCGUCACUGAUGGAUGGACCCGCGGUGCAUUAGCUAGUUGGUGAGGUAACGGCUCACCAAGGCAACGAUGCAUAGCCGACCUGAGAGGGUGAUCGGCCACACUGGGACUGAGACACGGCCCAGACUCCUACGGGAGGCAGCAGUAGGGAAUCUUCGGCAAUGGACGAAAGUCUGACCGAGCAACGCCGCGUGAGUGAAGAGGGUUUUCGGAUCGUAAAACUCUGUUGUUAGAGAAGAACAAGGAUGAGAGUAAAACGUUCAUCCCUUGACGGUAUCUAACCAGAAAGCCACGGCUAACUACGUGCCAGCAGCCGCAGUAA
rnacentral:rRNA from 1 species